rnacentral:piRNA from 1 species
UGGCCAUUUGGGUGUGUCGGCUGCUU